AGUGUCGGGGAGAACACUUCAUGUGACAUGGUGUCCAGUGUGAAGGAGGAUGUCAGCAGACUUCAAAUCACUAACGUGACAUUGGAUCUCCAAGGACUGGACCUGUGCUGCUGGAAGUGUCUGCUGGGGUUAGACUGUCUCUUCCCGUUCUGCCAAAUGUUGGCGUAAGAUGGAAUAAACUUCUUCCCCAUUGCUGUUCUCCUGAUACACAAGUCUCAUUUAAUGUUUUUGUCGG